rnacentral:rRNA from 1 species
UACGUAGGGGGCUAGCGUUAUCCGGAAUUACUGGGCGUAAAGGGUGCGUAGGCGGAUAUGUAAGUCAGCGGUGAAACUCACAGGCUCAACCUGUGCCGUGCCGUUGAAACUGUGUAUCUGGAAUGCGGAUGCUGUGGGAGGAAUGUGUAGUGUAGCGGUGAAAUGCAUAGAUAUUACACAGAACACCGAUUGCGAAGGCAUCUCACAAAGCCGUUAUUGACGCUGAGGCACGAAAGCAUGGGUAGCGAA